rnacentral:miRNA from 12 species
CACUGCUCUGCAGACCUGUAUACCCAGCAGGACAAGAGGGGACAGGCAAGGCUGCUCACUGCUGUGAUGGGAGCUCUGUAGGAUGUG